AAUCAACGCUGGCGGCGUGCCUAACACAUGCAAGUCGAACGAGAAAGUGGAGCAAUCCAUGAGUACAGUGGCGACCGGGUGAGUAACACGUGACCAACCUGCCCUCGAGUGGGGAAUAACUCCGGGAAACCGGAGCUAAUACCGCAUAACAUCGCAAGAUCAAAGCAGCAAUGCGCUUGAGGAGGGGGUCGCGGCUGAUUAGCUAGUUGGCGGGGUAACGGCCCACCAAGGCGAAGAUCGGUAUCCGGCCUGAGAGGGCGCACGGACACACUGGAACUGAAACACGGUCCAGACUCCUACGGGAGGCAGCAGUGGGGAAUUUUGCGCAAUGGGGGAAACCCUGACGCAGCAACGCCGCGUGGAGGAUGAAGUCCCUUGGGACGUAAACUCCUUUCGACCCGGACGAUACUGACGGUACGGGUGGAAGAAGCACCGGCUAACUCUGUGCCAGCAGCCGCCGUAAGAC
rnacentral:rRNA from 1 species